CAGUCGCCGCGGUAAUACGAAGGGGGCUAGCGUUGCUCGGAAUGACUGGGCGUAAAGGGCGCGUAGGCGGAUUGUUUAGUUAGGCGUGAAAUUCCUGGGCUUAACCUGGGGACUGCGCUUAAUACAGGCAGUCUAGAGUGAGGAAGAGGGUUGUGGAAUUCCCAGUGUAGAGGUGAAAUUCGUAGAUAUUGGGAAGAACACCGGUGGCGAAGGCGGCAACCUGGUCCUUGACUGACGCUGAGGCGCGAAAGCGUGGGGAGCAAACAGGAUUAGAUACCCCAGUAGUCCCUGUCUCUUAUAC
rnacentral:rRNA from 1 species